CUGGACAGCAGCCAGACGGGCGGGUCGAGUCUCAUGGCGCUCUCGGGCACGCCGUCGGGGAGACACGCUACGCCACCGAUGGCCAGACUGCCGUCCCAGCUGGAGUCGAUCUUGUCCACGCGGAACUGUUCAACGCAUACAUCGUUGGGGACUGCAACAAUUUACAUGUAUACAUGGAUGUGAAAAAUUAAUUUUGUGAUCGUUUAUUAUGAAUACUCACUCGUCUGAGGUAGAACAGCUACGGGAUUCCCUCUCGUCACUGCUUGUAUCUUGUACACCGAUCCGUAGAUUUCCAUCACCACAUAUACUUUCUGUAAAUAAUUUAUAAUACAGUUAUGAUAUUGUACUAA